rnacentral:piRNA from 2 species
UCACAACAACUGUGUGGAGGUAU